AUGCAGACCACUCUGUGGAAUCAUUGCCAGAAACGUGGGGUUUGGAUAAAGUUUGGUCCUGGGCUUCAUUCCUCUCCUGGUCUAGUAGGAGAUAAGUCAUAUGCAAUUUGCUGUACUGCACAAUGUUACACAGUAAGCAAAUUAGGUAGGUCUGAAACUAGAUGCCUUGUGACGUCUGAGAGACGGGGCCAGCGGGGAGGAAUUGAGGGAGCUGGACUGAAUUUUUUUUUUUUUUUUUUUUUUUUUUUUUUUGUUGGUUUUCUGUUUUUAAAAUCUUUUGGAUUUUGAAUUUCUCUAACACGUCACAGCUAUGUCGAUACAUAAACAGCUUUGGAUCAUUAGAGAAGGUGUAGACAUUCAACUUCAAUAUAGAAUUCUGUAGAGGAUUAAUUAAUAUAAAAUUCAGGAUCACAUUGAAACAGAAUGUCAGAAAAGAAAACUUUGGUGGAUAUGACAGAGGAGUCUGUGAAGAUGGGAGACUCUGAAACCUACCAGGAAGGCCCCAGGAGCUGAGGGAGAACCCAGGGUGACGACCACCAAUCACUGCCAGCACCGUGCCUGUCACAGAGGGGCUUGGAGCUAGACUUUCUGUCAGGAGCAGGGUGUGCUCUGGAAAUCAGCUCUACUCUGUACCACCACAAAAGGUCAUUCCUACCUCCAGGAUCAUCUGAAAAAGGUGAAGGGGGAGCAGCAGUUGGUGCUGGGAGAAAGAAGGGAAGAGGCAGCAUGGUCUGGACACUGGAAAGAUAAUGUCUGGGAAAGGGCAGCAGCUGUUCUGUAAGAUUUUGAAAAGACUGAGGGGGUGAAGAAGAAAUGUGGAAAAUCCAUUUAAAACCAUUUUCCCAUUUGCUUGGUCUGAUACUUGGCUGAACUUUAAUGGCCAAAAUAGGCCAAAGUUCUGAGGCCUCUCCAGAAUGGGAGCACUUCAGAUCUGCCAUAUACAGCAUACCAGUCAUCCAGUGCAGUGAGGGAGGAUCACUUAUUUAUUAAGCUCUACUUCUUAGCUGGAAAACAGCUGCUUUUAGGGUCCCCCCUAGGCAAAUAAAAUCUAAUCCUUUAAUGUUUUUUUCCACAGAUCUCAUCUAUUUCAUUUUUAUAUAAAAUUUUAAUUUUUUGGCAAAAGGUUGAUUUAUUUAGGGCUAUAGAUUACAGACAAAAUGAAGGGGGUAAAAUAAACACUGCAAGUGGCAAAUAUUUACAAAUUAUUUUUUCCCCCUGAGGCAGUUGGGGUUAAGUGACUUGCCCAGAUCACACAGCUAGGAUUUCCUGACUUCAGGGCUGGGGCUCUAUCCACCACACCAACU
rnacentral:lncRNA from 1 species